rnacentral:piRNA from 1 species
UAAUAGAAUGAAGGGAUGUAUUAGGCU